rnacentral:rRNA from 1 species
UACGGAGGGGGCUAGCGUUGUUCGGAAUUACUGGGCGUAAAGGGUGCGUAGGCGGGUCUUUUAAGUCAGGGGUGAAAUCCUGGAGCUCAACUCCAGAACUGCCUUUGAUACUGAGGAUCUUGAGUUCGGGAGAGGUGAGUGGAACUGCGAGUGUAGAGGUGAAAUUCGUAGAUAUUCGCAAGAACACCAGUGGCGAAGGCGGCUCACUGGCCCGAUACUGACGCUGAGGCACGAAAGCGUGGGGAGCAAACAGG